rnacentral:lncRNA from 1 species
GCAAAGGUUCAAGUUCUCCUUUCCGAUACAGCUUAAUAGUAUCUGUAACCAAAGAAAAAAAACCACAACAGUAAUUCAACUCCUCCGACAAGUUUUUUCAUGUUCCAAUAAUUAUGAAUGUUAUUCAAGUAUUCAACAGUAGUUGGAGUUAAUUGAGAUAUUGCAAAGAUUGUCUAGAGAAUUGAACUAGAAAAGGUACUCUGUUCAUUAGCUAUAAAGCUUUAUCUUCAUUAAUUCAGCACAACUUCUGUAGGUACGACAUACAAUACCAACCACUCAUUUAUUUUACAUUAAUCCACAAGAGCCUGUUGCUAACGGUCUACAAACAGCCUCGCAAGAUACUUAAUAACUAGAACUCUUCACAAGGCCGACAAUGUCGUAAUAUGUUAUAAACUUGGGAAUCAAGUCAAAUCAUUAUUUUCAAGGAAAAAACAUAGAAUAGCAAUACUUUGUUUCUGCAAAUGCACGGUGAAAGCAUAAGACUGAUCAGAGAAUGUACCUGUACAACCACCAAUGUGUUUGGCCCCUGGUCAUAGAGAAAAACACAUUUAUUACAAGUCCUUCAUAUAAACUAAGCAAUAAAAAUCAGCAACAAAUGCCAACGGAAUUUGAAAACAGGCACUUUCUUCGUUAAGAGGCAAUAUGCGUAUUGUCAAACUAUUCAAGCAGUUGUCUCUAUUUUUAUUUUUGUUUAGGCUUUGUAAAUUCGAAGGAGUUCUUUAUAUUUUCCUCAUGAUAUUAAACCAAGGUCUAUAAACUGUCUUAUCAUACAUACUGCCUCUUAAAGAUGAAAUAUUUCCAAAUACUUAUGGUGCUCUCCGCGAAGACGGCUAUUAUUUAUGAAAAUUUCACACAUAAAGAAGUUUGAGUUCAUUUGAGUCUGGCCUUAAGAAACUCUACAAUUAAAAUCUGGUCUUCGUUGUAUAGUGUCUUUCUUAAAUGGGAAGUAGAUGCUUAUAGGACAGUGCAAUUAACGCCGAAAUCUCUCUCUAAACAGAAAAAAGAUUCAGCAUUCUCCAAGGGACUUCACACUUGACCCAAUUCGGCUCUACUUAAUUGAGUGAUUGCAAAACCAUUUUUGAAGAAGACUUGAGGAUGGAAUACUAAAUAAAGCCCAUCAAGGUCUAAGAUUCAUCUUUACCAGACCCUUCUCUUUCCUUUCCUCUUAUCCUAAACCUCCCUUCUCCUUCACAUUACUAUGAGAAUUUGUGAACUCAAACCACCCCCAAAAACGACCUCAAUGGCCGACGAUGGAAGAAAACUUACUGGAGAUGGAGAGGAGUCUGAGUGUCGACGAUGGCCGCUUAUUGCCGUCGUCGACGACGAUGGCCGCUUGGAUUGAGUGCCGACGACGCCAGUGAAGCGGGGAUUUGCCCUAGAAGCAGUGAGGCGGAGUGUUUAAGGUUUAUG